AUACCCUAUUAUUUUUAUUGUGAAUUUUGAGCCUGAGUAAUAUUAGCUAUGAUCUUGAAACUUAAAGAAUUUGGCGGUAUUAUAGUCUAUUUAGAGGAAUCUGUUGCUUAAUCGAUAAUCCGCGUUGUAUCUUACUUAGCUUAUUUCUUGUAUAUCGCUGUUUAUGAAAAUAUUUGAAUAUUAUUUUCUUGGAUCUUUAUUAAGAAAAAUUUCAAGUCAAGGUGCAGUAAAUAGUUAAGUUGUUAAUGGAUUACAAUAAAAUUUAUUUACAUGGAUUGUUUUUGUAAAAGAUUUAUGAAGGUGGAUUUAAUAGUAAUUUAAUUAAGAUUAUUUAAAUGAUUAUUAGCUCUAUAAUAUGUACACAUCGCCC
rnacentral:rRNA from 1 species